CCAGUCUAGGCUAGGAGCUUGAGAGCCGGCCUAGAAAAGAGAGGACUCAUUCUCUGGCUGAGGUCGUACUUUGCCUGUGAAAAUCACUUUAGGUUUUUGGUUUGAUCCAGCGCAUGGGCAGGUCAAGGACUCUUGGCAAAGACAGAGAGAGGUAUGGAAACUUUCCCACGCUUUCUGUCAUCCUAAAAGAAACACUGCAUCAACACUCUUGGCCCGGAUCUGGACACAGAAGACUUCUGUUUCAAGAAAAUACAGUCAUCUCUCAAAUCCUGUAAUUUAUAUGCAUUCUAAACUCACUAGGUAAACUAGAUGCCAAUAACCACAGCCACACACACAAAAAAGGCAGUGGUUGCAACUAUGUAAAAAUUUAUGCAUACAUACAGACAGUGACUAAAGUGGA
rnacentral:lncRNA from 1 species